ACCCACUAUGCCGUUGAACAGGCAACACUGCCUGGGAUGGCUGCACAACCCUGCCCUGUGCUUACCAGGGCUCAUCGGCUCUGAACAGCAUCUUGAAGGGGGCCCUGGAUCGCUGCUGAGCUGCCCUGCAGCAGGUCGGGUAUCAGGCAUAGCUCACUGUGUCCUGCUCCCCAGCAAAACCAGUCCAGGAUGGGGUGAUGGAGCACGGCUGCAGUGGUGCCUGCAGGAGUGCUGGGUACUCACACAGCUGCUCCACGCCCAGCUUCAGUUGCUUGACUGAGCAGUGAUUGAUUUUCUUGCACAACACCAGUUCUGACAGUGCCUGACAAGCCACCUUUGCCCAGGCUAUGGUCCGUGGGGACCCUCCAUGCCAGGCUGCUGGGUGGGUGUGCAGGGCAGAGCCUCUUCAGCCCAUCCAUCCCCCACAAUGCAUCAAGAUUUGUUUCAGUCUCGGGUUUCUCCUCAGCUGCUGGGCGCAGCCCGUGUGGCAUCGCCCUGAGGGAGCCCAGCAUCAAGCAGGCACACCCCGCACCGCGUCCUCCCUGCUCUGGUGGCCGCAGCAGGGCAGCUGUGCGCGCUGCUCAAUGGGCAGCGUGUAUGAAAAUGCCCCCGGUUGCCUCUGGCUCUGUCACAAGCAGCAUUUAGCCACGACUCGGAGAAGGAGCAGAAGGGCUGGAAGCUGUCAGCCCUGCUUAAAACGGCCGCGGCUCAGUGCUAAUGUGCAGCACAGCAGCUGCGAGGCACGCAGCCAGGCCGGGCACAGCACAGCUCCCCACACGGCCCUGUGUGCUGUGACCAGCUCCUGCACCGGUCCCCAUGUCCCCCGGAACCUCCUGCACCCUCUGGGAGCCUCUGGGCAGCCACCGAGGGUUGUGUGGGAUCUUGGACACUGUGUCAGCCCGGCGUCUGUCACCACAGCAGAGCUCUGGAGCGCUGCUCAUCCCACUCAGACCCGGCCUGCCAAGCAGCUGGCACAGCUGGGGAAGCCUUUUGCCAGCGGAACAGCCCUGGUGCUGGGCCGUGCAAUAAAGGGUCCCGUGGCAGCAGGCGCUUGGCCACAGGAAGGGACAAGUCAUCCCCUUUCUCCCCGGUGGCUCCUGGGGUGCUUUCCCCAGAUCCCCCCAUCAGAGCUCACAGCAGGUCAGCACCGGCCUCG
rnacentral:lncRNA from 1 species